AGAAGUUGAGAAUGGGCUCAACAAAAGGUUAUCAGAGCCCAAUCGGAUGGGGUGCAGUAGCAUUGAGGGAGUGUGCACACAGGCCAAAAUAGCUUGGGCCAAAGGCCCAAGUCUCACCAACACCAUUAGGUUUCACAACAAAAACUUCAGAGCGUACCUUCAAACCUUCCCCAGAAUGAGCGAUUGUGAGACCUCACAGACCAACUGAAGCCGCUCACGUUAACCUCGUAUCAUUGACGCCGGUACAUCGUCGAUGAUAGAGAAGAAUCACCUUCAAUCGGUAAUGCGUGGUCGACGUAGAACAAGAAUCAGCCUCAAUCGAAGAUCCACCGUCGGCGAAAAGCGAGAGUCAACCUUCAAUCGGAAAUGCGUUGUUGAUGAAAAUUGAUCGUUGACGAUGAUUGGGGUGGAGCGAUGCGUCGCCGCUUGAAGUGGAACGUAGAACGACGAUGCUCGAGUUGAAAGAUGAAGAACGGAAGCGAACCAAAUCUGAAAAGAUUACAGGUUUGAAGAGACUUGAUGUAAUGGAAGGUGGCUGCUACAAGCUUCAAGACAACCUGUUUUCGUGACUAAGUCCAAAUUGAUUUCAUCCUAAUUGCUUGAUUUUGGUCAUUAGGAACCUAUUCCCAUUUGUAGCAAAUUUCACUGUAAUUACAUUUGGUUUUUUUUUUAAGACAAAUGUGUGCUUGGAUUAUGUAACUUAUUGAAUUAAAAGUCUAAUAACCAUUAAUAAUUAUGUAUUCAA